UUCCGGUUGAUCCUGCCGGACCUGACUGCUAUCGGAUUGAUACUAAGCCAUGCGAGUCAUUGUAGCAAUACAAGGCAUACGGCUCAGUAACGCGUAGUCAACCUAACCUAUGGACGGGAAUAACCUCGGGAAACUGAGAAUAAUGCCCGAUAGAACAUUAUGCCUGGAAUGGUUUAUGUUCCAAAUGAUUUAUCGCCGUAGGAUGGGACUGCGGCCUAUCAGUUUGUUGGUGAGGUAAUGGCCCACCAAGACUAUUACAGGUACGGGCUCUGAGAGGAGUAGCCCGGAGAUGGGUACUGAGACACGGACCCAGGCCCUAUGGGGCGCAGCAGGCGAGAAAACUUUGCAAUGUGCGAAAGCACGACAAGGUUAAUCCGAGUGGUUUCUGCUAAAGAAACCUUUUGUCAGUCCUAGAAACACUGAUGAAUAAGGGGUGGGCAAGUUCUGGUGUCAGCCGCCGCGGUAAAACCAGCACCUCAAGUGGUCAGGAUGAUUAUUGGGCCUAAAGCAUCCGUAGCCGGCUCUGUAAGUUUUCGGUUAAAUCUGUACGCUCAACGUACAGGCUGCCGGGAAUACUGCAGAGCUAGGGAGUGGGAGAGGUAGACGGUACUCGGUAGGAAGGGGUAAAAUCCUUUGAUCUAUUGAUGACCACCUGUGGCGAAGGCGGUCUACCAGAACACGUCCGACGGUGAGGGAUGAAAGCUGGGGGAGCAAACCGGAUUAGAUACCCGGGUAGUCCCAGCUGUAAACUAUGCAAACUCAGUGAUGCAUUGGCUUGUGGCCAAUGCAGUGCUGCAGGGAAGCCGUUAAGUUUGCCGCCUGGGAAGUACGUACGCAAGUAUGAAACUUAAAGGAAUUGGCGGGGGAGCACCACAAGGGGUGAAGCCUGCGGUUCAAUUGGAUUCAACGCCGGG
rnacentral:rRNA from 1 species